UGGCCGCAGGGUCUGAAAUUGCAGAGGAUUGAAGACAGUGAAGCAUCUUAAUUCGAAGGCUUGAUUCAAUCCUGUUUGCAGGAUUCUACGACGCUUACGAUUCCCCUCACGGGAUUCCGGCCUCCCACUUGUGAAAAUUCAUCUCUUGGCGAGUGAUUUCAGCGCGAAAAGUGAAGUUUGAAAUCGGUCGUGACGGCAUUCAUGUAGAGAGGUAAAAUCGACUUGAAUUUGAUGUUUGGGGGAUUUGGGUUCGAUGUUUAAAUUUAGUCGUGACCGUUAGCCUCGUGAAUCAUGCUUGAGUACCAUAUUUUACGUCGAACCGAAAACCCCGUGCCUACAUGUUGCCGUGAAAUAUUUUGGCUAUGGCGAUUAUGGUAUGUCUCACUACCCUGGCCAUGGCCAUAGCUGGGCCCUCGCUGAUUGAUCUUUGGGCGUGAGGUCCUUGGCUUCGAUUCCUGUUUUUUCAUGUACAAUCGCAUACCACUUUGGUUUUUUCCAUGAUUCGAUUCGUGGUAUCACUGUCAUAUCACGAUUCCUGAUAACACUGUUAUUCUUAUUCUCCGAUUCGAUUCAUGAUAUGACAGUGAUAAUAUUUUUAUUACUGGGUACUGUUCAGAACGUGAGAUCAGUGGUUUCUUCAAACAGGACCGAUGCAGAUAGCUCCAUGAGUCUACGAUGAAAUCCUCUGACGAGUAAUGGGGUCGUGAGAUUCGGAGGCGCUCUGCUACUUCAAUGUGGAGGAACAUGUUUCCUCUUAAUGACACACGAAGUUAGGCAGGCGCAGAAGCUGUUAUUUCACAGCAGCCUUCACUGCAUGAGCGUUCUGGGGAGUGAUGGAGCAAAUCGGAAUAUAACUGGGUAUGAAGCUUUUGUGGGACUCCUUCCUGAGACUUGAUGCUUUUGUGGGCAUGCUUAAAUGUUCCGAGGAUCUGAUGAUUUUCCAUGACGUGGUCAACGAAGGCAGCACGACUAAUUGUAGUUUUACCUUUGCUCCAACUCAGAACUUUUUCCUUUUUUGCUUGAGCUGAUUCAAGCACCAGAUCUGAUCUUGCCCAUGGGUCCAAUUUUGAUUGAACCAAAAGAAUGGUUUACUUCCAGCUUGCAACCUCUUCUAUCCCUCGCAUGUUGUGCAGACUAGCCAAUCGUGGAAGUCGUGGAUUUGAUAUGUGUAGCCAUGAUGUUAUGCCUUCAAACUUGGAUACCUAAUAACACCAUUUUUACAACGGCAGUCAUUGGAACGGAAUACACUUCAUUCGUAGUGGAGCAGCAGUUGGAAGAUUUUGUGAGGGAGCAGGCAUCUCAUUAACGUCUUUAUUGUUGAAGAUGCUGCUUUCUGCAAAUCAUUUACCGUCGCUUUUCUUUUCUUCUCUCUCUCUCUCUCUCGAUUUGAUCAAGGGAUAACUGGGGUGCUUGCAUGAAAGGCUGGAAUUCAAGUUCCACCUGUCACGCUGGCUGGCAGGGGGCGGCACCACAAGUUCCUUGCAGAAGAAAACUCAUAGAAGACGAGGAGAGUAACUCACAAAGCCAGUUUUCUUCAUUAAUUUUACACAGGCCCUAGUUUUGGAAGUAGUAUCAUACCAAGGCUAGCUCAAGAAUUCCAUGGCACUGUAUUCUUCAGGAGCAUGGUCAUGAACUGAGGAGAUUCUCAAGGUGCGGAAAACAGCUUAAGUUCCUUCUUGAUUAUCAAUUAACAAUCAUAUUUACAACGACUAGAUUUAUGGCUCUUUUGAUGGGAAGAUCGAGACCUCUCAAACGUACCAGCGACGAUUUGCCAGAAUCUAAAACAACUUCUCUUCAGACAGGUCUUCGGUGCAGCAAUGGUCAACAAGGAUCGACUCAAGGGUUGUUGAGUACAGCAUGUCCCUGACAUCACCAACUCGCAUGGCAAAAUCCACAACAACAGGGUGCCGAUAAAUAAGCGGUGGAUCAGUCCUAGAACCACGAAUAUUACGAUAGCACUGCAACUCCGCUGCUUGAUAAGCGGCGACUGUUCAUGACCCAUGUGGUUUUUUGCACAUUGUUCAACGAAUCUGUGGUCGAAAGGCACGAAGUGUUGUGUCAGUGUCUUGCCUCAGUUACUGAAAGGCAACAACAAAAGGCGGCAUUGCUCAAGAGAGAGAGGUUAUUUCUGAGGAGCAAUAUCUGAGCUAAACUAGUUCCAGUAUGUGGGUGCCCAUUUUCUUAUGUACAGAGAGAGACAAUACGAUGCGGAACUCGACUCAACUGGAUCAACUCAACAUGGUCGCAACUCAGGAGUUGUUCAUGGGUCCAGAUUCUCCCGACGCACCCAAACUUGAGAGCAGAGGCUCUACUUCUUCUUCUUGUAGCUUCUUGUAGCUUAUUCAAGGUAUCAGAUCGGAAACGCUUUGAGGCAUAAUGAAGCACAUUUGCCAUUAUUUGUAGCACAUCAGACCUGUUAGAAUUUCGGUCAGAAGAUGAGCUUCUUCAUUUAAUCCGGUAGUACCCUUUAGAACCAUCUGGAUUCAUUCUGUUGAGCGUUCCCUAGAUCAUUCUUCUGCAGGAUUCCAGUCAUCUCGCACUCAAUAUUCAACUCUUUCGUGCAAGAUUUCUAGGACAAUAGGAAUUUCGAUGCUCUAUGGUGCAUCAUUAUAUAAACCACCGUACUUAAAAAUGUUGCUUGCUAAAAAAAUUAUUCUUUUUUCUUAUAUUUUAAACAAAGGGAUGUAUUCAUAUCCUAGCUGUGAAAUUUCCAA